rnacentral:rRNA from 1 species
AUUGAACGCUGGCGGCAGGCCUAACACAUGCAAGUCGAGCGGAGCGGCGGACGGGUGAGUAAUGCCUAGGAAUCUGCCUGGUAGUGGGGGAUAACGUCCGGAAACGGGCGCUAAUACCGCAUACUAUCAGAUGAGCCUAGGUCGGAUUAGCUAGUGGGUGGGGUAAAGGCCUACCAAGGCGACGAUCCGUAACUGGUCUGAGAGGAUGAUCAGUCACAUUGAAACGGAGACACGGCCCAGCCUCCUACGGGAGGAAGCAUUGGGGAAUAUUGGCCAAGGGGCGAAAGCCUGAUCAAGCCAUGCCGGGUGUUUGAAGAAGGUUUUCGGAUUGUAAAGUACUUUAAGUUGGGAGGCGUUACCUACAGAAUAAGCACCGGCUAACUUCGUGCCAGCAGCCGCGGUAAUAC